rnacentral:rRNA from 1 species
AACCAGCACCUCAAGUGGUCAGGAUGAUUAUUGGGCCUAAAGCAUCCGUAGCCUGCUUUGUUAGUUUUCGGUUAAAUCCAUGUGCUCAACGCAUGGGCUGCCGAAAAUACUGCACAGCUAGGGAGUGGGAGAGGUAGACGGUACUCGGUAGGAAGGGGUAAAAUCCUUUGAUCUAUCGAUGACCACCUGUGGCGAAGGCGGUCUACCAGAACACGUUCGACGGUGAGGGAUGAAAGCUGGGGGAGCAAACCGG